rnacentral:rRNA from 1 species
AAAGAAUACCAAUUGCGAAGGCAGCUUUCUGGAUCAUUACUGACACUGAGGAACGAAAGCAUGGGUAGCGAAGAGGAUUAGAUACCCUCGUAGUCCAUGCCGUAAACGAUGUGUGUUAGACGUUGGAAAUUUAUUUUCAGUGUCGCAGCGAAAGCGAUAAACACACCGCCUGGGGAGUACGACCGCAAGGUUAAAACUCAAAUGAAUUGACGGGGACCCGCACAAGUAGUGGAGCAUGUGGUUUAAUUCGAAGAUACGCGCAGAACCUUACCAACACUUGACAUGUUCGUCGCGACUCUAAGAGAUUAGAGUUUUCGGUUCGGCCGGACGAAACACAGGUGCUGCAUGGCUGUCGUCAGCUCGUGUCGUGAGAUGUUGGGUUAAGUCCCGCAACGAGCGCAACCCUCACUUUUAGUUGCCAUCAUUAAGUUGGGCACUCUGAAAGAACUGCCAGUGAUAAGCUGGAGGAAGGUGGGGAUGACGUCAAGUCCUCAUGGCCCUUACGUGUUGGGCUACACACGUGCUACAAUGGCAUCUACAAUAGGAAGCAAGAUGGCGACAUCAAGCAAAUCCUAAAAAGAUGCCUCAGUUCGGAUUGCACUCUGCAACUCGAGUGCAUGAAGCUGGAAUUACUAGUAAUCGCGGAUCAGCGCGCCGCGGUGAAUACGUUCCCGGGUCUUGUACACACCGCCCGUCACACCAUGGGAGUUGGUUCUACCUUAAGGCAAAGUUUAAAACCUUUGACCACGGUAUAGUCAGCGACUGGGGUGAAGUCGUAACAAGGUAGCCGUAGGGGAACCUGCGGCUG